AAACCGUAUGGGAUGCAUUUCUCAACAGAAGGAUCUUUAUCAGAGGAAGGAGCAGGGAGGGUUUCUUGAAAAAUUAAUGCUGUCCACUGAAGACUUGCUUGUCUAGUGCAAGUUAAAAUAUCUUUGACAUAGUGGAUUUUACCUUUGAAAUUCAUAAUCUUAAGAAGAUUCAAGAAAUGGAAAAGAGCGAUGAAUCUAGCACAGACUUGGAAGAGCUGAAAAACGCUGACUGGGCACGAUUCUGGGUACAGGUGAUGAGGGAUUUGAGGAAUGGGGUAAAACUUAAGAAGGUCCAAGAGCGGCAGUACAACCCUUUGCCCAUUGAAUAUCAGCUCACCCCUUAUGAGAUGUUAAUGGAUGACAUUCGCUGCAAAAGAUACACCUUGCGAAAAGUGAUGGUGAAUGGUGAUAUUCCCCCUCGGUUAAAGAAGAGUGCUCAUGAAAUCAUCCUCGACUUCAUCAGAUCCAGACCUCCUUUAAAUCCAGUCUCAGCCAGAAAACUGAAACCAACUCCACCACGGCCACGGAGCCUCCAUGAAAGAAUAUUA
rnacentral:sRNA from 1 species